rnacentral:rRNA from 1 species
UACAGAGGUCUCAAGCGUUGUUCGGAUUCAUUGGGCGUAAAGGGUGCGUAGGCGGCGCGGUAAGUCGGGUGUGAAAUCUUGGAGCUUAACUCCGAAACUGCAUUCGAUACUGCCGUGCUUGAGGACUGGAGAGGAGACUGGAAUUUACGGUGUAGCGGUGAAAUGCGUAGAUAUCGUAAGGAAGACCAGUGGCGAAGGCGGGUCUCUGGACAGUUCCUGACGCUGAAGCACGAAGGCCAGGGAGCAAACGGG